CCUACGGGUGGCAGCAGUGGGGAAUCUUGCGCAAUGGGCGAAAGCCUGACGCAGCCAUGCCGCGUGAAUGAUGAAGGUCUUAGGAUUGUAAAAUUCUUUCACCGGGGACGAUAAUGACGGUACCCGGAGAAGAAGCCCCGGCUAACUUCGUGCCAGCAGCCGCGGUAAUACGAAGGGGGCUAGCGUUGCUCGGAAUUACUGGGCGUAAAGGGAGCGUAGGCGGACAUUUAAGUCAGGGGUGAAAUCCCGGGGCUCAACCUCGGAAUUGCCUUUGAUACUGGGUGUCUUGAGUAUGAGAGAGGUGUGUGGAACUCCGAGUGUAGAGGUGAAAUUCGUAGAUAUUCGGAAGAACACCAGUGGCGAAGGCGACACACUGGCUCAUUACUGACGCUGAGGCUCGAAAGCGUGGGGAGCAAACAGGAUUAGAUACCCUAGUAGUC
rnacentral:rRNA from 1 species